CAUGUGUAUGUGACACGUGUGUAACAUCUGCUGAAGGUGGAAGAAGACGCAACCGACUCAUUCCUAGCGUUUCCACCGGGCUGAAACUCCGAUCAAAUCCACCGAACUCUGCUAAUCAAAUCAUCGUUUGCCAUCCAAGGAUUUUACCAGAAUUCAGUUAAAACUCCAAUCACCAAUUCUCUGCCUUUGCUAAAUUCUCUGAGUGAAAAGAAACAGGAAUCCGAGUCAUCAGAUCUAUGAACUGCUGGAACAUACGACAUGGCGAGAGGUCAGAUCAGUCGCAAAACACGCUCUUCUGAACUGUUCUACGCCGGCCAUCAAGUCCCACUCAUCACAAUUC